rnacentral:rRNA from 1 species
CCUACGGGAGGCAGCAGUGAGGAAUAUUGGUCAAUGGACGCAAGUCUGAACCAGCCAUGCCGCGUGCAGGAAGACGGCUCUAUGUGUUGUAAACUGCUUUUGUACGGGGGUAAACGCAGGUACGCGUAUCUGUCUGAAAGUAUCUUAAGAAUAAGGAUCGGCUAACUCCGUGCCAGCAGCCGCGGUAAUACGGAGGAUUCAAGCGUUAUCCGGAUUUAUUGGGUUUAAAGGGUGCGUAGGCGGUCGGGUAAGUUAGAGGUGAAAUCCCGAGGCUCAACUUCGGAACUGCCUUUGAUACUGUCCGGCUAGAGAGUAGUUGAGGUAGGCGGAAUGUAUGGUGUAGCGGUGAAAUGCUUAGAGAUCACACAGAACACCGAUUGCGAAGGCAGCUUACCAAGCUAACUCUGACGUUGAGGCACGAAAGCGUGGGGAGCAAACAGGAUUAGAUACCCCAGUAGUC